rnacentral:rRNA from 1 species
GACGAACGCUGGCGGCGUGCCUAAUACAUGCAAGUUGAGCGAUGAAGAUUGGUGCUUGCACCAAUUUGAAGAGCAGCGAACGGGUGAGUAACGCGUGGGGAAUCUGCCUUUGAGCGGGGGACAACAUUUGGAAACGAAUGCUAAUACCGCAUAACAACUUUAAACAUAAGUUUUAAGUUUGAAAGAUGCAAUUGCAUCACUCAAAGAUGAUCCCGCGUUGUAUUAGCUAGUUGGUGAGGGAAAGGCUCACCAAGGCGAUGAUACAUAGCCGACCUGAGAGGGUGAUCGGCCACAUUGGAACUGAGAAACGGCCCAAACUCCAACGGGAGGCAGCAGUAGGGAAUCUUCGGCAAUGGACGAAAGUCUGACCGAGCAACGCGGCGUGAGUGAAGAAGGUUUUCGGAUCGUAAAACUCUGUUGGUAGAGAAGAACGUUGGUGAGAGUGGAAAGCUCAUCAAGUGACGGUAACUACCCAGAAAGGGACGGCUAACUACG